GUGCCAGCCGCCGCGGUAAGACGAGCCUUGCUAACGUUAUUCGGAAUUACUGGGCUUAAAGGGUGCGUAGGCUGUGCAGAAAGUUGGGUGUGAAAUCCCCCGGCUCAACCGGGGAAUUGCGCUCAAAACUACUGUGCUAGAGGAAGACAGAGGUCGGCGGAACUUCGGGUGGAGCGGUGAAAUGCGUUGAUAUCCGAAGGAACACCGGUGGCGAAAGCGGCCGACUGGGUCUUAUCUGACGCUGAUGCACGAAAGCUAGGGUAGCGAACGGGAUUAGAAACCCCCGUAGUCC
rnacentral:rRNA from 1 species